rnacentral:rRNA from 1 species
GAUCCUGGCUCAGGAUGAACGCUAGCUACAGGCUUAACACAUGCAAGUCGAGGGGUAACAAGGGAAGAGCUUGCUUUUUCUGUUGACGACCGGCGCACGGGUGAGUAACACGUAUCCAACCUACCUUUCACUCAGGGAUAGCUCUUCGAAAGAAGGAUUAAUACCUGAUAUAAUACAUAAGUCUCCUGACUGAUGUAUGAAAGAUUUUAUCGGUGUUAGAUGGGGAUGCGUUCCAUUAGAUAGUUGGUGAGGUAACGGCUCACCAAAUCAGCGAUGGAUAGGGGUUCUGAGAGGAAGACCCCCCACAUUGGGACUGAGACACGGCCCAAACUCCUACGGGAGGCAGCAGUGAGGAAUAUUGGUCAAUGGACGCGAGUCUGAACCAGCCAAGUAGCGUGAAGGAUGACUGCCCUAUGGGUUGUAAACUUCUUUUGUUAGGGAAUAAAGUGCACCACGUGUGGUGUUUUGUAUGUACCUUUCGAAUAAGGAUCGGCUAACUCCGUG